rnacentral:tRNA from 1 species
GCUUCCUUAGCUCAGUGGAUAGAGCGUUCGCCUCCGGAGCGAAAGGUCGUAGGUUCGAAUCCUGUAGGAAGCG